UACAGAGGGGGCAAGCGUUAUUCGGAAUUAUUGGGCGUAAAGGGCGCGUAGGCGGCCUGGCAAGUGGAAGGUGAAAUCCCUCGGCUUAACCGAGGAACUGCCCUCCAAACUGCUUGGCUUGAGUCCGGGAGAGGUGAGUGGAAUUCCCAGUGUAGCGGUGAAAUGCGUAGAUAUUGGGAGGAACACCAGUGGCGAAGGCGGCUACCUGGACCAGCACUGACACUGAGGCACGAAAGCGUGGGGAGCAAACAGG
rnacentral:rRNA from 1 species